rnacentral:rRNA from 1 species
UACGAAGGGGGCUAGCGUUGCUCGGAAUCACUGGGCGUAAAGGGUGCGUAGGCGGGUCUUUAAGUCGGGGGUGAAAGCCCGAGGCUCAACCUCGGAACUGCCUUCGAUACUGCGGGUCUCGAGUCCGGGAGAGGUGAGUGGAAUUCCUAGUGUAGAGGUGAAAUUCGUAGAUAUUAGGAAGAACACCAGUGGCGAAGGCGGCUCACUGGCCCGGUACUGACGCUGAGGCGCGAAAGCGUGGGGAGCAAACAGG